rnacentral:rRNA from 1 species
CAGAGUUUGAUCCUGGCUCAGAUUGAACGCUGGCGGCAGGCUUAACACAUGCAAGUCGAGCGGGGGAAGGUAGCUUGCUACUGGACCUAGCGGCGGACGGGUGAGUAAUGCUUAGGAAUCUGCCUAUUAGUGGGGGACAACAUCUCGAAAGGGAUGCUAAUACCGCAUACGUCCUACGGGAGAAAGCAGGGGAUCUUCGGACCUUGCGCUAAUAGAUGAGCCUAAGUCGGAUUAGCUAGUUGGUGGGGUAAAGGCCUACCAAGGCGACGAUCUGUAGCGGGUCUGAGAGGAUGAUCCGCCACACUGGGACUGAGACACGGCCCAGACUCCUACGGGAGGCAGCAGUGGGGAAUAUUGGACAAUGGGCGCAAGCCUGAUCCAGCCAUGCCGCGUGUGUGAAGAAGGCCUUAUGGUUGUAAAGCACUUUAAGCGAGGAGGAGGCUACUUUAGAUAAUACCUAGAGAUAGUG